rnacentral:rRNA from 1 species
UACGUAGGGGGCGAGCGUUAUCCGGAAUUAUUGGGCGUAAAGAGUGCGUAGGUGGUCUUGUAAGCGUGGGGUGAAAGGCAGUGGCUUAACCAUUGUUAGCCUUGCGAACUGUGAGACUUGAGUGCAGGAGAGGAAAGUGGAAUUCCUAGUGUAGCGGUGAAAUGCGUAGAUAUUAGGAGGAACAUCAGUGGCGAAGGCGACUUUCUGGACUGUAACUGACACUGAGGCACGAAAGCGUGGGGAGCAAACAGGAUUAGAUACCCUGGUAGUCCACGCCGUAAACGAUGAGUACUAGGUGUCGGGGUUUAAAGACUUCGGUGCCGCAGUUAACGCAUUAAGUACUCCGCCUGGGGAGUACGCACGCAAGUGUGAA